CCUGGCUUGCUUCUGCCUGAAGCCGAAAGAAGGUAAGCCCCACACCUUGGAGACAGCGCCCUUUGACUAAAGGCCUGUGGGAAAAUCUCAUUUUCAUUUCUUCUCAUUCUCAUUCUCUUCCAUCCAGAUGACAUCAUCAUUGAAGAUAUAUAGGUAGUGCGGACCUCGGGCUCCACUGGGCAUCAGAAAGAGACCAACAUCCAAAUGCACUUGGCAGGUGACAGAACGAUGCUGGCAAGACCUCCUUCUCCAUCUUUUCAUGGUGGCAGAAGGGAAGCAGUGGCUGUGGGACCAGAUCAGUAUAUAUGAUCUACUCCCUGUAUAACUCCACGUGUCAAGAAGAAAAAGAGCUGGAAGAGAAUGGAAUAAAAAUGAAUAUUUUUAAAUGGAUUUUG